UACGUAGGGUGCAAGCGUUGUCCGGAAUUAUUGGGCGUAAAGAGCUCGUAGGCGGUCUGUCGCGUCUGCUGUGAAAAUCCAGGGCUCAACCCUGGACCUGCAGUGGGUACGGGCAGACUAGAGUGCGGUAGGGGAGAUCGGAAUUCCUGGUGUAGCGGUGAAAUGCGCAGAUAUCAGGAGGAACACCGGUGGCGAAGGCGGAUCUCUGGGCCGUAACUGACGCUGAGGAGCGAAAGCAUGGGGAGCGAACGGG
rnacentral:rRNA from 1 species